CCCCUGGGGGUCGUGGACCCCUGGUUUAAGAUGUUUCUUUACUGUUUUUCUGCUCCUUUUCCUGCUGUUGAGAAUUUUGAUUUCCCUUGUUUUCGUGGUCUUGUAUUCUCUUUCUGGAAGCUUUUACUAUUCAUGAUCUUUUAUCUCUGCAUUUUAAACCUUCACAAUGACAUGCUUUAUUCCUCCUGCUUUGCACUGCUUCAGAAGUUGGCAAACAUCUUGAGGGAAGCCUGGCUCUGUUGACACUCCUGGUCUCCAGUUUUGACAUCCUAGCCCCAGAUGAUGCACCUAAAGUUGAAAAGCUGACUUCCACCUCCUGGGCAACGUGGCUCAGGUUUGUGCGCAGGUCAAGACAAAACUGAUGUCAACACCAGGAAUGAAGGAGAAAUCUGUGGCUUAAUGAAGGUGGAGACCCAGCGUGAAGGAGGCUGUGUCUGUAAGGCAGGGAAAAAAGCCUUCACCAGGAACCAGUGCUGGCACCCUGAUGUCAGACUUCAAGCCUCCAAAGCUGUGAGGGUACUGGUAGCCGCAUAAAACAAGUUGGGGCAUAUUCCAACAAAAUAGAACAUUUUGUGAAAGAGUGUAUAUGAAAAAGUUACUUCUUCCUUGAAUGUGUAAUAGAAUUCACCAGUGGAACCACCAGGGAUUGACAAUUUCUUUAUGGAACCUUGAGACAACCCGAAUUAAGUCCACUCUGGAGCCUGCCCUGUGUGCUCUUUUUCUCUGACUUCAGCAACUGCUAGAUCAACAUGCACAUCCUAUUUUUAUUACGCACACUUCAGCCCCCAGCUCACUGCCUGGCCCUUUGGCUUAUGGCAAUAAUCAAGCAGACCUCCAAGUUAUGACAUCACUGCUUGACCAAGCCACUGAAUCACAUCAAUUCUUCACCGAAACUAGAGAAACUUACUGAACAAUUUCAACUUACUCAAAGACUAGCUAAACAAAUUAUCCUGCAAUGCCCAGAUUGCCAGCUCACAGGCACAUCCCUUCCUUCAACAGGUAGCCCUACAAUUUCAACCACAUCCUUGCCAAAGCUUUGGUGACUAGAGUGCUCUGGGAUCCUGAGAAGAAGAAAAGAAAAUGAGACCAAUAUUGAGACAGGACAAAUUAAAUUAUUGAAGAUCUU
rnacentral:lncRNA from 1 species